GGUGAACGCUGGCGGCGUGCCUAAUACAUGCAAGUCGAGCGACCGCACGUGCAUCUUGCUUUUCUGAUGUUAGCGGCGGGCGGGUGAUUCAUCCGUAGAUAACCUAUCUAUAAGACUGAGCUAACUUCGCUAAACCUGAUCUAACAUCCGAUAAUCUUUUGAACCGCAUGGUUCACAAGUCAUAGCCGGUCUUGCUGUCCCUUUUUGAUGUAUCCGCGCUGCAUUAGCUAGUUGGUACGGUAACGGCUUACCAAGGCAACGAUGCAUAGCCGACCUGAGAGGGUGAUCGGCCACACUGGAACUGAGACACGGUCCAGACUCCUACGGGAGGCAGCAGUAGGGAAUAUUCGGCAAUGGGCGAAAGCCUGACGGAGCAACGCCGCGUGAGUGAAGAAGGUCUUCGGGUCGUAAAGCUCUGUUAUUAGGGAAGAACAUAUGUGGAAGUAACUGUGCAGAGCAUGACGGUACCGAAUCAGAAAGCAACGGCUAACUACGUG
rnacentral:rRNA from 1 species